GAAGAAAAAAAUGUAGUUUAACUUAGAGUGAUGAAAACAUCUGCUACUGGCAGUUCGACAGAGAGUGGACUAGUGGCCUUGUGAGAAGAGAGAGCAACACCAGCAAUGCACAUGCAAAGAGGAAAGGCCCUGCAAGGAUGCUAAGAACGAGGACGGCCAUCCGCCCACCAAGGAGAGAAGUAUCAGGAGGAACAAACCGGCCAACACCUUGAUCUUGGACUUCCAGCCUCCAGAACUGUCCGCAGCUUGGGCUACCUUCCAGCAUAAAGUCACUAAAGAUGUGCCGGGCAUGAUGAAGGAAGAAAGCGACUACAUGCUGAAGGAGAUGGUGCGGGGACUCGCUAGUACCUAUUGGCAGGACCUGGGGAACUUUGGUGGGUGCUUGAUAAUGGGGACUGGAAUAAAAACUGGCUAAGCAAAAAUUUAUGGACUUGGAUUCACUUUCUCAGAACACAGUUUAAUACCUUGGCAAGGAUUGCAGCAUAUGGGGCAAACUCCCUGCAGGGUGACCCUUAGAAACCUGGAGAAAAUGUAAAAGCCCUUUCUUGAGGAAUUGUCAUUUCCUAAAUUGUCAUGAAGAAAGGUAGAGAAAGGUAGAAAGAGGAUGAGGAAAGUGGGUACUCUGGAAUGGACACAUUAGGUGAGGACAGAAGAUCUGCCAGAGGUUAAGUAUUAUGACACGCUAUUCACUAAAACCAUUAGACACACCAUUCACCAGCUGGUGAAAAAGGCUACCAGAAUCACUAAAAUUUCAGUGGCUGUUCUAUGCAGGCCAGGGCUGAAGGUAGCAGAGGCCGUCACAGGCUGGACUCACUGACA
rnacentral:lncRNA from 10 species